AGCCACUGAUCCCCAAAGCCUCUAUGCAAGGAAAAGAAGAGAGAAAAUAAAUGAGAGUCAGAGUUCUGCAGAACAUUGUCCCCAAUGGAACAAAGGUUGAUGUUAGUACAAUGCUUGAGGAAGCUGUCCAUUAUGUGAAGUUCUUACAACUCCAAAUUAAGCUGUUAAGCUCUGAUGAUAUGUGGAUGUAUGCUCCCAUCUGUUACAAUGGAAUGGACCUGGGACUUGAUCUGAAGCUCACCUCACCAAA